CGAAGAGAAAGGUAGACUCCUCCAUUCCCCCCUCUUUUUUUUCGUUUUUAUUGGUUGAAUUUGUAGAUCGAAGGGUAACCCUAGAACCCCUUUUUAUUGGUGAGGACACGGAGAACACACUCCGCAAUGUUUUAGAGAAAGUUCGUCAAAGGUGCCGGAAACUUGUAGCAAGAUUAGGUUGCAGGUCGGUUGGAUUGGACGACGUGUACCAACCGUGGAGACUACCACCACCACUACCUCAAUCCGCGCGUCCAAGUACUGCUCGACACUCCAUCAGGAUAGAAGAGCGUGAAGAAGUUGGUGGCUCAUCAUCGUCACGCAUUCCGCAAGGGAGGGGAAAGGGGAAGGCGCCGGCUCCACCUAGCGACGACGAUGACGAUGACGACGACGACGACGAGGAUGAGGACUACGUCGCACCAGACACUGAGGAGAUAGACAUGUCGUAGCUUCCCGACGCACCUCAGGGGACGCAACCCACGCAAUACAACUUGCGAUCUACUCGGGCAGCGAAAAAGAGGUACACUCCGGGCUCGCAAGCAAUUCGGCGCCAAUGGAAGAAGUGAUUUGUAUGAAGUUAAUCUAUUUGUUGGUAGUAUGACAUAUGUGGUGCACUAUGUGAUAUAAAAGGUGAUGGACUAUGUGAGGACUAUGUGAUCGACUUUUGGCAUUGUUUGAUGUGUCGAAUAUGUGAUGGACUUUUGGCAUUGUUUGAUGUGUGGAAUAUGUGAUGGACUUUUGGCAUUGUUUGAUGUGUGGAAUAUGAGAUGGACUAUGUGAGGACUAUAUGAUGGACUUUUGGCAUUGUGAUUUGUGCAAUUGGAACUUGUUUUAGUCUGUAUGAAUCUGUGAAUUGUGAUUUGAAUUGCGAACUGUGAA